GGACUGAGAGGAAGAGGGAGCCUGUAGUGUUUAAGAAUGGACAAAUGAGAACAGUACAUGGUGACGGCCCUUUUAUGUCCUAGGUAACCUUCCUCAACGACUCUAAUCAUUGAUGAUACAUCUAUUAUUCUCCUUCUCAUGUAUGGAGAUAUUUUAAAAUAUAAGUUGAACUAGUAUUUACUUUUUUCUCUAUGGCCUGAGCAGUGAUUAUUAGAUGAUACAAAAAUCCCUCUGUAAUUGUUAGGUACUGAACUCCCAU
rnacentral:lncRNA from 1 species